UGGAAACCGGAGCUAAUACCGGAUAAUAUUUUGAACCGCAUGGUUCAAAAGUGAAAGACGGUCUUGCUGUCACUUAUAGAUGGAUCCGCGCUGCAUUAGCUAGUUGGUAAGGUAACGGCUUACCAAGGCAACGAUGCAUAGCCGACCUGAGAGGGUGAUCGGCCACACUGGAACUGAGACACGGUCCGG
rnacentral:rRNA from 1 species